rnacentral:lncRNA from 1 species
CGCCGUAGUGGUGCACGCCGGUCUUGGCGAGCAUAGCGUAGUACUCCACCUCAGACUUGCGCACAGCGGGGCAGUUGUUGCAGAUGAUGACCAGCUUGGCUGCGGUGGGCAAGAAGAGGAGACAAAGUUGGUGAGAUAGAUGUGCAGUUUUCUGGUGGAGAAGGCAGCGUGCGGUGCUGAGCCCCACACAGGGCACAAGGGGCAGGGGGUGCGGGUUGAGGAAGCACCAGUCGGCGGGCGUCGGCGCGAGCGCAAACUUACCCUUGCCCGAGCGCAGGGUCUUCAGGCAGGUCUUGUAGCCCAGAGUGUACUUGCCACUCUUCAUCACCAGCGCCAGACGGGCGUUGAUGUUCUCCUGGGUCUUCUUCUGCGGGUGCACAAAGUACGCGCGCGACCGAGGUUCAAUACCUGAUUUGAUUUUGUAGCCACCUUACGCUGGACGACCAGCGACGGCGGCGACUCUCCGUUUUGACGGCUGCGGCUAGUUUUGCUACUGCAUCUGCCCUACGCACCGUCUUCUUAGUAGCGGGGGCCAUUUUUCCUUGUGUUUUGCCUCCUUCUCAGCCUGGAAAGAAAAUGCAAGGUCCAUCCGUCAGAACUGGAAACAGCGAGCCGUGCGAGCGGGGCUCGGGGGCGCAGCAGCCAGAGCCGCCGCGCACCCGAGACACCCUCAAGCUGGCGGUAUGUGGGCCUAACAUCGCUAAGCUAAUUAUUGACGGACC